AUUGCCAGACCCUGAAUUGCGUAAUCCCCCCGGAGUUGAAUACUCUACAUACUGCUAGUACAUGCACUCUACUGUUUGUGUACUGUUUACCAUUUUUUCGCGAUGAUCCAAUUACACUUAAUCAGUUCGGCCAUGAGCCAAGGAUUACUCAUGACGUCAAUAGUGUAUGGAUGAAGGUUGCCGUACAUAUGACUACUAUGGACGUUAUUGUAGCUUACACCCCUUGCGCGGUAGCCAAGUGGUUAGGACGUACGAUUCAUAACCAAGAGGCCCCGGUUUCGAUUGUCUCUUAUGGCGCUGCUUCAAACCUCAAGUAGCGACUGGUACUGGAGGGGGAAAUCACGGAUCUUUCGGUGCAUAAUAACCAUGCACAAAUGACCAUAUAAGAUUGUACUAAGGACAGCGCCGUGAUUGUACAUGUGACCGUAUCAGGAUUGUACUAAAGCUCGUACCAUAUUUGUAAAAAUGACCAUACAAUGUCAUGACCGUACUAUGAUUUGUACAACGAUUGUACAACCACUGACAGUACACUGAUCUUGGAUCAUACAAAUCUCACUCCAUUUUGAGCUCACUAUUGAUCAUAGAAAAGGAAAAACAAUAUUCUUCAAACAAUAUAUCUGAUUUUGUUUUUACAAAUACCAGCUUCAAGUACAUAGGAUUUACUUUAGGAAAUGACGAUGGGAGGACUGUGGGUGUUGUCAGGCACGGAGUAUAACGGUUAUCAGUAUAAUCAAUUCAAUUCAUUUAUUGACAUCGACAAUAAGAUGGCAAACUGUCAAGAUUACUUAUCAGUUAAAACUGCUUACCUUGCGAAUAAUAUUAAUGUAGAUAUGUCAUAAAAAGUUCAGAAAUUGUUUUGUGUUCCAAUGACCAUGUGCUUCUACAUAUGUAUCUUAAUGACAAAACUAUGCACACACAAAAAAAACCCAAAACAAUAAACCACAAU